rnacentral:rRNA from 1 species
CGCGUAGGCGGCCUUCUAAGUCAGACGUGAAAUCCCCAGGCUUAACUUGGGAACUGCGUCUGAUACUGGGAGGCUUGAAUGCGGGAGAGGGAUGUGGAAUUCCAGGUGUAGCGGUGAAAUGCGUAGAUAUCUGGAGGAACACCGGUGGCGAAGGCGGCAUCCUGGACCGACAUUGACGCUGAGGCGCGAAAGCUAGGGAGCAAACG